rnacentral:lncRNA from 1 species
GGAGGAGCGCAAGGCCGUCUCCACGGCGACGUCCCACGGCUCCCGGCCCCGCAACCGCGGCGUCCCCUCCUCGGGGGAGGGACCUGACGGUGGGGGCGGGCCGCCGGUGCGGGCGGAGCUGCGAGCUCCGCGGCGCGUUGCUGCGGAACCAGGGUGGAGCCCGGGGCGACGAUUCAAGCUCCGCUCUCGCUCUGCGCCGUCCGUUACACCGGUAGUGGCCGGGAUCGCCCUUCCGGCAAGGAGCAGCACCGGAGAACCCUCCCCCCGGGAGGAGGAGGAGACGGUGACGAUGACGGUGACGUUCGACGAGUACCGGCCCCACGUGGGCGACCAGGACGCCCUGAAGCUGACGGCGGCCGGGGCCGUGCAGGAGACGGGGCAGGUGGUGGCCAAGGAGCUGCGGGUCCGGCUGCACACCCCGGAGCUCACGCUGACGCUCCUGGCUCCGGCCGUGGUGGGCCAGGAGACCCCGAUCCAGGUGGUUUUCCAGAACCCCCUUCCCGAGGCUCUGACCGGGACCACCCUGAGGAUGGAGGGGGCGGGGAUCGCCUGCCCCAAACCGGUGUCGCUGGGGUGAGCCACUGGGAGGGACUGGGAGGGACUGGGAAGGGAUUGGGAGGGACUGGGAGGGGAUUGGGAGAGACCGGGAGGGACUGGGAGGGGAUUGGGGGGGACUGGGAGGGGAUUGGGAGGGAUUGGGAGGGACUGGGAAGGACUGGGAGGGGAUUGGGAGGGGACUGGGAGGGGAUUGGGAUAAAAAAAAAAAAAAGGGAGGGGGAAAAAAUAGAGACCGGGAGGGAACUGGGAGGGGAUUGGGGGGGACUGGGAAGGGGAAGGAGGGAUUGGUGAUGAACUGGGAAGGGACUGGAGGGACUGGGAGGGGACGUGGGAGGGGAUUGAGGGGGGACGGGAGGGAACUGGGAGGGAUUGGGGGGGACUGGAG